rnacentral:rRNA from 1 species
UAAUUCCUACGGGACGCAGCAGUGAGGAAUACUGGUCAAUGGGCGCGAGCCUGAACCAGCCAAGUAGCGUGAAGGAUGACUGCCCUACGGGUUGUAAACUUCUUUUAUAAAGGAAUAAAGUGAGGCACGUGUGCCUUUUUGUAUGUACUUUAUGAAUAAGGAUCGGCUAACUCCGUGCCAGCAGCCGCGGUAAUACGGAGGAUCCGAGCGUUAUCCGGAUUUAUUGGGUUUAAUGGGCGUGUAGGCGGGAG